GGCAAACCCCCCUGUGCAAGUUACCUUAUCUGUGCCUGUUGGCUAUUCUUUGGUUUGAAAGAAUUCUUCCAAGGAUCCACCCUAACUGCCUGCCUGACUCGUUUCUUCCUUUCCCCUCUCAGUAAGCUACAUUCAGCUUUUUAACUCCACUAAUUGCUUGCUGAUUGCUGUAUUAUUUUCAACAAUUCCAUGAAGCCUGAGUAGCUCUACAAACAAAUCCUAUCAAAUUGUGGCUACUUUGAAGGAACUGUUUCGGAGAUGUUUCCUAUUAUCCUUGAUAAUGUGCCAUGAACAUAUGAAAAAACAUAGAAACAUGAAGAAAACAAGAAGACAAAAAUCACUAACAUCUGGUUGGCUGUAUAGAAACAAAGCUGAUUCUGGCUUGCAAAUGGAUCUUACAGACGUUGUCACAGAGACAAGAAAAGCAUAUAAAAAAAUAAAUAAAGAUGAGCUCCUUUCAAGGUGACUGACUAGAAGCAGCUGGUGUGUGCUGCUCUCACAAAGAGAAGAAAGAGUGGUGAGUGGACCAUCCAGGUGGACACAUUGGGAUUCAUCAAGGAAACAAUACACAGAAAACAGAAGAAUGAGACAGGACAAUCAUUCACCCAGAAGUGGCAUAGAGCCGGGAGAUGGCCCUCACCAUGGUUAGUAAGUGAGAGUCCCCAGGGAGUCACAUUUCUGCCACAGACCUUUGCAACCCUGGGCCCAGGCGAUCCCCCAUGACACCCGUGCCCCACCAGGGCCUCUGGACUGACAUAGACAGCUACAUGGAGUGUGGGCAGAACUGCCACUCAGGCACUCAUGAAAUCCUUGGAGCUUUUCAUCCCCAGGCACCCUGGUACCAAUGGCUGCAGCUGCGGCAAUGGGGGAGGACAGGCUCUCUUGCAUGUCCUCAGAAUAGGAACACAAUCCAUGGGGCUAAGCAGUGGGUGGACUGUGGGGCUCUUCUACACAGCCCGUUGCCAGACUGGCCUGGGAUCCUAGCAUGGUCACAAAAGUCCCACCUGGGCUCUUGAGGAACAGAUCUGUACUUCCCUGGCAUGGAACUCCUGGAGGGGAUGGGCAGGCUGCUGUUUUUGCUGCUCCACAGCCCUCACUCCUGUUGCCCUCAGUCUUGGGAGUGAGCACAGUGAUUGGGGACUAACAUAGACCCCCAGCACAGUGUACAGACUUGCAGAAAAGCAGCCAGACUCUUUUCCACAUGGGUCCUCACCCCUGCUACUCUUCACUGGGCAGCACCUCUUGACCUUGGCCCCCAGCACAACCAACCCGCCCCCACAUGAACGCUUUGUCAGUGAUGGCUCUGUGUUUCUCUGAGGAGAAAAAUCCAAAAGACAAUCCAUAAGCCUUCUGCUAUUGCAGCUGCAGUGGUAUGGCCCUUACUACCUUCAGGCUGGGGAAAGAACGAAGGACUUGGUCCUUACACUGGCCCCUCCAGCACACCAUCGCCACCAUAUGGAGAAGAGCCCAGUCUCUCUUCCCCGUAAGCCCCCACUCACCACUGUUCACCAGGCAAGGCCCCUAGUUGGGGACAGCAGAGCAGCUGUCCUACCCCCGGAUGAGAAUUCCCACUGCUAUUGGCUCUAUAUUUUCCUGAGGUGGGCCUCCCAGAAGCAAUUGACAUCCCCUCUGUCACUGUCAUGGCAGCAGUUCUGCCCUUACUGCACUCAGACUGGGGAAAGAACAAACAGCCUGAGGUCUUCACUCACACUCCUAGCACAACACAGUCAUGAUAUGGAGAGGAGCCCAGUUGUUCCUCCUGGUGAGCCCUUGACCUCCUACUUUUCAUCAAGUGAAGCCUCCAGCUUGGGCUAGCAGCGUAGCCACCCCACCCACUGGCUGAACAUUCUCAGUAGCAAUGGCUUGCGUUUCUCUGAAGUAGGGCUCCCAGGGACAACGGAAAGCACCUCUCCCACUGCCACUGCAGCGGUACUGCCUUGCUGCCCUUGGACUGGGGAAGGGGCAGAGACCUUGAGUGCUUAACCCACAUGUCCAGGAAGUGACAGCUGCCCUAAGGAGAGGAGGCCAGUCUGUCUCCUCUGUGAGACCCCUGCCACCCUUGCGCAUCACCAGGCAGGGCCUCCAGGCAUGGGUUCACAAUGUAGCUGCCCCAAUCCCAAGCCCAUCUCUCCAAUUAGUAGUGGCUCUGCAUUUCUCUAGGGUGGAGCCCCAAGAGACAAGUGAAAGGCCCUCUGCCACAGCAACUGCCAAGGUCCCUUCCCCUGUUGCCUUCAAGCUGGGGAGGGAAAAUAAAGCCUUAGCUCGCCCCUAGCAGCAGUGUGCAGCCCAGGAGUGCCAAGGCCAGACCUUAAGCCAGCACUGGAGUGGGAAAGGGAGCCCACACUUUCAGAGCACUGAGAGGGAGCAUGGCUGCAAUCAUGAAGAAAUACAGAGGAGCCACGUGGUGGAGCAAGAGCCCACCUACUGGCCAUUACACUUCAGUGCCAUCUACUGGAUCAUAGCCCAAACUCCAACUCCAAAAAUGCUUGCUAAUAUACCCCCCUCUGUGAAAACAACGACAAGAUUUCAACAACAAAGACCCUGCACAAAACCUCGGCCCUCAAAAAACAUUCAAAAAAGGAGUCUGCACUCAAUUACACCACAGUUAAAGGAGCAUCAGCCCACACAGAUGAGAAAAAACUGGUGCAAGAGCUCUAACAACUAAACUACAGUGUUUUCUUUCCUCCAAAUAACUGUACUAGUUCCCAAGGAAGGGUUCUUAACCAGGCAGAAAGGGUGGAAAUGACAGAGAGAGAAUUCAAAAUAUGGAUAGGAAUAAAGGUCAUCAAGAUUCAGGAGAAAGUCAAAACCCAAUCCAAGGAAUCUAACAAUUACAAUAAAACAAUACAGGAGUUGAAAGACAAAAUGGCCAUUAUAAGAAAGAAC
rnacentral:lncRNA from 1 species